GGCGUCAUGGAUGGGCAUGCGGCGCAUUAGGUAGUUGGUGGGGCAACGGCCCACCAAGCCGACGAUGCGUAGGGGUUCUGAGAGGAAGGUCCCCCACAUUGGAACUGAGACACGGUCCAAACUCCUACGGGAGGCAGCAGUGAGGAAUAUUGGUCAAUGGCCGGAAGGCUGAACCAGCCAAGUCGCGUGAGGGAAUAAGGCCCUACGGGUCGUAAACCUCUUUUGCCAGGGAGCAAUGCCGUCCACGUGUGGACGGAAGGAGAGUACCUGGAGAAAAAGCAUCGGCUAACUCCGUGCCAGCAGCCGCGGUAAUACGGAGGAUGCGAGCGUUAUCCGGAUUUAUUGGGUUUAAAGGGUGCGUAGGCGGCCUGCCAAGUCAGCGGUAAAAUUGCGGGGCUCAACCCCGUACAGCCGUUGAAACUGCCGGGCUCGAGUGGGCGAGAAGUAUGCGGAAUGCGUGGUGUAGCGGUGAAAUGCAUAGAUAUCACGCAGAACCCCGAUUGCGAAGGCAGCAUACCGGCGCCCGACUGACGCUGAGGCACGAAAGUGCGGGGAUCAAACAGGAUUAGAUACCCUGGUAGUCCGCACAGUAAACGAUGAAUGCUAGCUGUCCGGGGGGAUUGACCCCUGG
rnacentral:rRNA from 1 species